rnacentral:rRNA from 1 species
CCUACGGGUGGCUGCAGUGGGGAAUAUUGGACAAUGGGCGAAAGCCUGAUCCAGCCAUGCCGCGUGUGUGAAGAAGGCCUUCGGGUUGUAAAGCACUUUCAGUGGGGAAGAAAGCCUUGGGGCUAAUACCCUCGAGGAAGGACAUCACCCACAGAAGAAGCACCGGCUAACUCCGUGCCAGCAGCCGCGGUAAUACGGAGGGUGCGAGCGUUAAUCGGAAUUACUGGGCGUAAAGCGCGCGUAGGCGGUCUGAUAAGCCGGUUGUGAAAGCCCCGGGCUCAACCUGGGAACGGCAUCCGGAACUGUCAGGCUAGAGUGCAGGAGAGGAAGGUAGAAUUCCCGGUGUAGCGGUGAAAUGCGUAGAGAUCGGGAGGAAUACCAGUGGCGAAGGCGGCCUUCUGGACUGACACUGACGCUGAGGUGCGAAAGCGUGGGUAGCAAACAGGAUUAGAUACCCAUAGUC